UCGGGAAUUUUGGGCAAUGGGGGAAACCCUGACCCAGCAACGCCGCGUGAAGGAUGAAGUAUUUCGGUAUGUAAACUUCGAAAGAAUAGGAAGAAUAAAUGACGGUACUAUUUAUAAGGUCCGGCUAACUACGUGCCAGCAGCCGCGGUAAUACGUAGGGACCAAGCGUUGUUCGGAUUUACUGGGCGUAAAGGGCGCGUAGGCGGCAUGACAAGUCACUUGUGAAAUCUCUGGGCUUAACCCAGAACGGCCAAGUGAUACUGUCGCGCUAGAGUGCAGAAGGGGCAAUCGGAAUUCUUGGUGUAGCGGUGAAAUGCGUAGAUAUCAAGAGGAACACCUGAGGUGAAGACGGGUUGCUGGGCUGACACUGACGCUGAGGCGCGAAAGCCAGGGGAGCAAACGGGGAUUAGAUACCCUCGUAGUCCCUGAGCGGGCUGGCAAGGCGCAU
rnacentral:rRNA from 1 species